CCAGAAGAGGCGCGUUAAUCAGGUAGUUAUUGUGAAGAGAUCAAACUCUAUUGAGCAAUAAUGAGGGGAUAUAACGCCGAGAUAAUUAUAUUUUUGAUGAUGUAAUUGUCGGUUGUAAAAGCUUAAUUGUUUUUAGAUAACAAUUAAGUUUUUUAUUUUACGGGCUAUAAAUUAGUUCGUUUAAUAUGAGGUUGAAUCCUUGCAACUGUCACCUUAUAGGUGGAGAGCUUCUG
rnacentral:ncRNA from 1 species